GGCUUUCUAGCUCAGUUGGUUAGAGCGUUCCCCUAGUAAGGGAAAGGUCACGUGUUCGAAUCCCGUGGAAGCCU